GGGCUGGGCUGGGCUGGGCUGGGCAGGGGAGGCUGAGCGGCGUGCCCCCCAUUCCUGCUCCCUG
rnacentral:miRNA from 1 species